rnacentral:rRNA from 1 species
GAAAGCUUACGGGGGGCAGCAGUGGGGAAUAUUGCACAAUGGGCGCAAGCCUGAUGCAGCGACGCCGCGUGCGGGAUGGAGGCCUUCGGGUUGUAAACCGCUUUUGUUCAAGGGCAAGGCACGGUCUUUGGCCGUGUUGAGUGGAUUGUUCGAAUAAGCACCGGCUAACUACGUGCCAGCAGCCGCGGUAAUACGUAGGGUGCAAGCGUUAUCCGGAUUUAUUGGGCGUAAAGGGCUCGUAGGCGGUUCGUCGCGUCCGGUGGGAAAGUCCAUCGGUUAACGGGGGAUCCGCGCCGGG